CCCCUAUCCCAGGAUAUAAUCAUGAAUAAGGGCCAGUGUGGAAAGUGUCUUUGGGAGCAGUUCUGUAGUUUACUCCACUCCACUGUGAAACAAGAGGGAACAUUGUGCAACUUCAGCUCAACCAUACCACAACUAUUUAAUAAGCUGCACUCUUGGACCUCAGCAAGAGAUUUCUGCCAGUCCUUUUACCCAAAUUACUUCAAUGGGAGGUCCUGUGGAGGAACGGAACAUAAUGCAAGGAAAGAAUGCACUCCAGUGUUGACCUCUGGCUCUUCCCUGAAAG
rnacentral:lncRNA from 1 species